rnacentral:rRNA from 1 species
GAUGAACGCUGGCGGCGUGCUUAACACAUGCAAGUCGAACGAAGCACUCUAUUUGAUUUUCCUCGGAAAUGAAGAUUUUGUGACUGAGUGGCGGACGGGUGAGUAACGCGUGGGUAACCUGCCUCAUACAGGGGGAUAACAGCUGGAAACGACUGCUAAUACCGCAUAAGCGCACAGGAUCGCAUGAUCCGGUGUGAAAAACUCCGGUGGUAUGAGAUGGACCCGCGUCUGAUUAGCCAGUUGGCAGGGUAACGGCCUACCAAAGCGACGAUCAGUAGCCGACCUGAGAGGGUGACCGGCCACAUUGGGACUGAGACACGGCCCAAACUCCUACGGGAGGCAGCAGUGGGGAAUAUUGCACAAUGGGGGAAACCCUGAUGCAGCGACGCCGCGUGAGCGAAGAAGUAUUUCGGUAUGUAAAGCUCUAUCAGCAGGGAAGAAGAAUGACGGUAC